CUCGUGGCAAUGAUUUGUGAGUUUAGUGCAAAUAUGGUGGCCGUAUAAAGUUCAUUUCCACUGCUAAUCUUCGUUGUGGUUGCUCUGCCAGAAUGGCUUCGGCAGUCUGCACAAAUGGUUCCCUGCAAGCUCUGCAAACGGGUCCCUCUUCUCUCUCGGGCUCCCACGAGGCCACAAGUCCAUAACGCCUGCACGGAGCGGAGCCGGAGCCGGCGACGACGACGAACGGCGGCGCCUCGGUUUCUCCGCGGAGCAUUCGGCCGCAGCCGCUGCAACGGCUUGCAGCUACUCUGUUGUGGCCGAUUUGGGUCCCCAAGCAGCAAUGCAGCAGCACGAUAGACUUGUCUACUUGUCGUUCCAUCUUCAUCAGCUGUUCUGUUGACCAAGAUGUGGCGCUCACGUCUGCACGAACCGGAUCCAAUUCUUUUGCCCUCGGUCUCCCUCCUGCUUUAGUUGACCUCAGAUGUCGGCUGCCACUUUGCAGUGUACUGUAACCUGUAUAUCUACCUAUUGUAUUUCAAAAAGGAAUACCGCAGAUCGAAGCCAUGUAUUUCAAAAGUUUCUUUUGUGGCAUGUAUUUCAAAAGUUUAUAACUUGCAUAUGUGAACUCCAGAUUGCAUAUGUUAAUAAUUUCAGUUGUUACCGGACAUGUAUUUCAAAAGUUUAUCUUU